rnacentral:rRNA from 1 species
UACGUAGGUGGCAAGCGUUGUCCGGAUUUACUGGGCGUAAAGGGCUCGUAGGCGGCCAACUAAGUCAGACGUGAAAUCCCUCGGCUUAACCGGGGAACUGCGUCUGAUACUGGAUGGCUUGAGUUUGGGAGAGGGAUGCGGAAUUCCAGGUGUAGCGGUGAAAUGCGUAGAUAUCUGGAGGAACACCGGUGGCGAAGGCGGCAUCCUGGACCAACACUGACGCUGAGUGAGCGAAAGCCAGGGGAGCAAACGGG